ACUUCUUUAAGGCAGACUCAUCCGUAAGACCAUAACACAAUUUGAUACCUUCAAAACUUGUCAGAAUUACAGUACAACUGAUGAUUGAAACCCAUUGCUUUCUCUUGAUCAAAGCUUUAGAAGGACAGACUAUAGAGGAGUUGCUAUAAAGGAUUGUCUAGAGGAUUUCGACCAUGAAAAGGUCCCCAAAUAGAUCUACUGCAUCAUCCCAAAAUCAACUACAUAAAUGGAAAUCUUGAUGGAUCUUCAAUAAACGAUUCUCUAGAACUGGG
rnacentral:lncRNA from 1 species